GUACCAACCCCGAUCCCUGCUCAAUGUAGCAUUUUUUUUUUUUUUGUUUUAUUUUCUUUAUUAAUAAUAAAAGCAGGGGUAGGUUUCUUUAAACUGCACAAACAUGCAAGGAUUUUUUAAAAACGGAAACUUCUCUCAUGUUAUUCAACCAGAGCACUUCAGUUUACAAACAGCAAGACCAUCUGUCUGGAAGCCAGCCGAGGGACUGUGUGCAAAUGACGAGACGAGACGCUUGGAUCCUGUUCCCAUCCUAGACCAGGGCUACCGUACACAGAACUGGGCACUUUACUGCCGGGAGACUUCUGUGUUAAAAAUUUUUUUCUGACUAAAAAUUUGGCAUUUGAAGAUGUGGUAUUCAUAUGGGAUUUUGUCCACCAUUGUCAAGAUUGCAAUAUUAAAAAUCAUACUGGUCACUGGUAAUUUAGUUUAUUCCAAGGCAGUUGACUUGCAGAAGCACAGUCUACAAAGCCCAGGAAGUUGCCACAGUGGUUUACGUUUUGGGACACCUCUUAAGUUUGAACUGCAGUUCAAAGUGUUAAUAACGUAGUCUUGUAGAUGGUAUGCACAGUGCAGAGCCUUGAAGUAUAUUCAAGCUAUUUUGUUUAGCUUGAAUAGUUGGAAAGAAAAAUGUGAGUUUCUGUCUGAAAUAAAAUGGUACGUUACCACUUUUAAGUUUUAAGUGAGAGAUGUUCACAGGCAUCUCAGACGUGAUUUUACUUUUACUCCAAACGUGAAUAAGAAGCCAUUGUCAUAGCUUUGCCCAUUUUUGCUUUAUUAGACAUGCUCUUAAGUUUUAAGGUGAAUCAAACUAUACAAUACAGUAUUAGGAUAUAAGCUUUGCUUUUAUAGUACAGUUAAAACAAUUACUUUUUGCACCGUCUUAAUUACAUUUUUUUAUUUUACUAGUUGUGUUGCUUUGCAAAAAAACUUAGAACAUUUGACUGUGUUGCUGUUGUGUGAGUUGCUUCAAGGUGUGCUGAGUAGGUAG
rnacentral:lncRNA from 1 species